rnacentral:rRNA from 1 species
GAUCAUGGCUCAGGAUGAACGCUGGCGGCGUGCCUAACACAUGCAAGUCGAGCGGAGAUAAAGAGAGAUUCUCGGAUACUAUCUUUAUCUUAGCGGCGGAUGGGUGAGUAACACGUGGGUAACCUGCCCUGCACAGGGGGAUAACAGCUGGAAACGGCUGUUAAUACCGCAUAUGCACACGCAGCCGCAUGGCAGUGGGUGGAAAGAUUUAUCGGUGCAGGGAUGGGCCCGCGUCGGAUUAACUAGUUGGCAGGGUAACGGCCUACCAAGGUGAUGAUCCGUAGCCGACCUGAGAGGGUGACCGGCCACAUUGGGACUGAGACACGGCCCAAACUCCUACGGGAGGCAGCAGUGGGGGAUAUUGCACAAUGGGCGGAAGCCCUGAUGCAGCGACGCCGCGUGAAGGAAGAAGUAUUUCGGUAUGUAAACUUCUAUCAGCGGGGAAGAAGAUGACGGUACCCGACUAAGAAGCCCCGGCUAACUACGUGCCAGCCGCGGC